UGGUUCGAGUUAUCCUGGCAAGAUUACAGGCAAUCCUGCCAGGAUAACUGUGUUUGGUUAAUCCGCUAUGUAAUCUAUUCGUUAAUGUAGCAUUACAAAUCGAGCAGGAUUACAUCGAAAAUAUUAACGGAAGGGGGGUCGUGUAUCUUGUAUUACUGAAACCCGUUAAUACUACAUAUUAUGUAAAAUAACAAUUUUACCCUCCAACAACCCCAAAUCUAAUUAACAGUAUUAUUUUCAUCUCUCUCUCGCCUUCCCCCCGGCCCUCUCUCUCGCACGCCGCUUUCUCUCGCUCGUCUCUCUCUUUCUCUCUCUCUCUCUCUCUCUCUCUCUCUCUCUCUCGCACGAACACCUAUCAUCUUCUAUUGCGUCGUCCUCCCAAGUAAUCAUCACGAUCUCCUUCCCUCCAUUCGUCAUUUCCGCAAAAAUAAUAUUCAAAUGACCACAACAAGGGCAAUUUUGAAAAAAACUAUACUUUUAUGUCAGGAUUACUAAAUUUUAUAAACUGAACCAAACAUAUUAAUGCUAUAAACACUGUAAUCUAGUAUUACAUUACUGUAUUAAACCAAACGCUCUAAUGCAGCAUCAGUAGUAAUCUCACGCCGAAAUCCAAGAUACCUGGAUAUGUCGAGAUACUUUGUAAUAUUACAUAACUCGAACCAAACGGGCCCU
rnacentral:lncRNA from 1 species